CAAGUGGAAAUGUUUUGUGCAACUUAUAGGGAUGGGGGUCACACCUAUCUUCCCUCCUUCCUGUCUGGAAUGGAGCUAUAAUGGUUGGGGCUUCGGCAGCCAACUUGGGGACCUGAGGUAACCUGGGGGACACGGAGGGUAGAAUGCCUUCCCGGGGACUCACGAAAGGGCAGGCUUAGCCUCCUCCCCAUGUCGCCCCUCAUUGGCUAGAAACUACUGCUCGUCUCGGUCGUUGUUAGCAGCGACCAGGGCGGGUACAAUCUUGGUAGCUAGGACACGGCUAACUUCCGCUUUCUUCCCCCUCUCCUAGGCUCAAACUAGUCAAAUCUUGUUCACUCGACCAAUGGCAAAUGGGAAGUGGGCGGGACUUCACA
rnacentral:lncRNA from 1 species